AACGCAUAUUGCGCUCUUUGGUAUUCCGAAGAGCAUGCUUGUUUGAGUAUCAGUAAACACCUCAAAGCUUUUGAUUUAUUUUGAAGGCUUUGGACUUGAGCGAUCCCAACACCAAUCUUUUAAGAUCGGCGGCGGGUUGCUUGAAAUGCAGGUGCAGCUGGACAUCCUCCUGAGCUAAAAGCAUAUUUAUGUAGUCCCGUCAAACGGAUUAUUACUUUUGCUGCAGCUAAUAUAAAGGGAGUUUGGCCGUUUUGGCUGACUGAUGCAGGAUUUCACAAGGGUCGGCAACGAUUCUUGUUAAACUCGAUCUCAAAUCAAGUAAGACUACCCGCUGAACUUAA
rnacentral:misc_RNA from 1 species